rnacentral:rRNA from 1 species
AGUGAACGCUGGCGGUAGGCCUAACACAUGCAAGUCGAACGGCAGCACAGUAAGAGCUUGCUCUUACGGGUGGCGAGUGGCGGACGGGUGAGGAAUACAUCGGAAUCUACUUUUUCGUGGGGGAUAACGUAGGGAAACUUACGCUAAUACCGCAUACGACCUACGGGUGAAAGCAGGGGAUCUUCGGACCUUGCGCGAUUGAAUGAGCCGAUGUCGGAUUAGCUAGUUGGCGGGGUAAAGGCCCACCAAGGCGACGAUCCGUAGCUGGUCUGAGAGGAUGAUCAGCCCCACUGGAACUGAGACACGGUCCAGACUCCUACGGGAGGCAGCAGUGGGGAAUAUUGGACAAUGGGCGCAAGCCUGAACCAGCCAUACCGCGUGGGUGAAGAAGGCCUUCGGGUUGUAAAGCCCUUUUGUUGGGAAAGAAAAGCAGCAGGUUAAUACCCCGCUGUUCUGACGGUACCCAAAGAAUAAGCACCGGCUAACUUCGUG